AAACAACACCAAAAUUCUACACUUCUUUUCUUUAAAAAAAAUUCCUAAUUUCCUGAUUUACCUCCGUUAAUUACUCUCAGGCUCACAUUUGCAACUGUUUAAGUGGCCUUGCCCCCGCAAGCGGAAUUCCGUCGUUACCGUCUUCGGCAACCGCCGCGGAACCGGUGAGCAGUUCGUUCAUGGCGUGUUGAGUUUGUCGCGUGGACUCCUUCGGCUAGGCCUCCGCUCCGGUGACAUUGUAGCUGUCUCCGCUUUUAACGGGUCCACGUCCAAUUCUAGCGACUCAAUUUCCAGAAACAUGUUUUUGGAAAUAGCUCUUUUCUGAAACGAUAAAGUAGAAUGAUCAGAAGUUUCACAAUGGUGAACUAGUGUAAAAAGUUUUCCGUUUUGGAAAUCGAAACUCGAGGUUUAAGUUGAUAGAGUAAUGUUUAAAGGACAUUUAAUAAGUUCUGCGUUCUCAGGAGGAGAUCAAGGACUAGAGCUGCCUUUUGGAAGUGUUUUUUCAUGUUGCUGAUGAACAUAAACUGUGGUUUUCCAGUGACUUGUAUUUGGAGUGGUUACUUGCUGUUGCAUACAUUGAAUGCAUAGCUGCUCCUUUAAAUUAUUGAUGGGUAAGUAUUAGUUUGCUCCUAUGGCAGUGAUAUUUAGAACCUGGGGAGUUAUAUGUAAAUAUUUGAAAAUUUUCUUGAUUGCCUAUUUCCUAGAGGUUUUUUUUUUUUUUUUUUCUCCCUGUAGAAUUUGUUUAGAAAAUAUUUUUCCUGGAUUCCUUGGGACAAUUAGAAUUAGCCAGUUUUUUUCAACUGCUAUUCUAUAUAAUAUCCUACCUGUUAAGUUA